rnacentral:rRNA from 1 species
GACGUAGGGUGCAAGCGUUGUCCGGAUUUACUGGGCGUAAAGAGCGCGUAGGCGGUCUGUUAAGUGUGACGUGAAAUCUCCAGAGCUCAACUCGGAAACUGCUUCGCAUACUGGCAGGCUGGAGGAACGGAGAGGUGAGUGGAAUUCCUGGUGUACCGGUGAAAUGGGUUGAUAUCAGGAGGAACACCGAUGGCGAAGGCAGCUCACUGGCCGUUAUCUGACGCUGAGGCGCGAAAGCGUGGGUAGCAAACAGG